rnacentral:lncRNA from 1 species
UUUCAUGCAUUUCUGUGUCUGGUCUUCCACUGUAAUUUACAUAUUUUUAUGUUCAGAAAUAAAAUUUACAUAAAAGGCAACAUACAAUAUGUAUCAUUCUUUUAGUUUUUUGUUUUAGCACCAUAUUGUCAACCAUGGAACUAGUACGGCAUUGUCUCUUUUGAAUAUACUAGGAUGUUUUCAAAUUCUUCUGUGUCACUUGCUGCCAUUUACUUUAAAAAAGCUCCUCUUUCACUAGUACAUAAUACUUUCCUAUUUCUAAAUCCAAUGAUUAAUGUUCACACCUUAAUAUACUUGCUAUUUCAGCAAUAUUCGGCACAGACAAUCACUUUUGUCUUCAUGGAAUACUUUGUC